UUCCAUGAAGCUGGAAUUGCUAGUAAUGGCAGGUCAGCAUACUGCCGUGAAUACGUUCCCGGGCCUUGUACACACCGCCCGUCACACCAUGAGAGUUGGAAAUACCCGAAGCCUGUGAGCUAACUGUAAAGAGGCAGCAGUCGAAGGUAGAGCCAAUGAUUGGGGUGAAGUCGUAACAAGGUACC
rnacentral:rRNA from 1 species